CGCCAAAUAGCUAGCCCACCUAACCAAAAACAACACCACAUCAUUAAUAAACCCAAACACCUCAAACCACACAAAACAAAUCAUUUUUCCACCUUAGUAUGGGCGACAGAAAAGGAAUUAUGGCGCAAUAGAGAAAGUACCGCAAGGGAACGCUGAAAGAGAAAUGAAAUAACCUAGUAAAGCCUAAAAAAGCAGAGAUUUAAACUCGUACCUUUUGCAUCAUGAUUUAGUUAGAAAAACUCAAGCAAAGAGCAUUUUAGUUUGAUUCCCCGAAACUAAGUGAGCUACUCCAAGACAGCCUAUUUAUAGGGCACACCCGUCUCUGUGACAAAAGAGUGGGAAGAGCUUCGAGUAGAGGUGAUAAACCUAUCGAACUUAGUAAUAGCUGGUUACCUGAGAAAUGGAUUAAAGUUCAGCCUCUCAGUUUCUUUAUUAACAAAUUUAUAAACAUAAUAUAUUUAAAGAAACCGACAGAGUUAUUCAAAGGGGGAACAGCCCAUUUGAAGCAAGAUACAACUUUAACAGGUGAAUAAAGAUCAUAUAAAUAAAAGGUAUUAUGUUUGAGUGGGCCCAAGAGCAGCCAUCUCAAUAGAAAGCGUUAAAGCUCAAACAUAUAAAACACCUUCAAUACCGAUACUCAAUCUCACACCCUAAAUAUAUCAGGCUAUCCUAUGCAAACAUAGGAGUAAUUAUGCUAAUAUGAGUAAUAAGAAGAUAUAUAUCUUCUCCUUGCAUUCGUGUAACUCGGAACGGACCUACCACCGAAAUUUAACGGUCCCAAAUAAAGAGGGCAUUGAAUAACAAUUAAAAAACUAGAAAAACAUUCAAUAACAAACCGUUAAACCCACACAGGCAUGCCUUUAAGGAAAGACUAAAAAGAAAAGAAGGAACUCGGCAAACACAUGAAGCCUCGCCUGUUUACCAAAAACAUCGCCUCUUGUAUCUUAAAAAUAAGAGGUCCCGCCUGCCCUGUGACUAUAUGUUUAACGGCCGCGGUAUUUUAACCGUGCGAAGGUAGCGCAAUCACUUGUCUUUUAAAUGAAGACCUGUAUGAAUGGCAUAACGAGGGCUUAACUGUCUCCUUUUCUAAGUCAAUGAAAUUGAUCUUUCCGUGCAGAAGCGGGAAUAACACCAUAAGACGAGAAGACCCUAUGGAGCUUUAGACAAAAGGUAGAUCACACUAAAUACCCUAAACAAAAGGAUAAACUAAAAGAAUACUACCCCUAUGUCUUCGGUUGGGGCGACCGCGGGGCACAUAAAACCCCCACGUGGACCAGGAGAACUUUUACCAUCACCUCCCAAAACUAAGAGCUCCCGCUCUAGUAAACAGAAUUUCUGACCAAAAAUGAUCCGGCAACGCCGAUCAACGGACCAAGUUACCCUAGGGAUAACAGCGCAAUCCCCUUUUAGAGUCCAUAUCGACAAGGGGGUUUACGACCUCGAUGUUGGAUCAGGACAUCCUAAUGGUGCAGCCGCUAUUAAGGGUUCGUUUGUUCAACGAUUAAAGUCCUACGUGAUCUGAGUUCAGACCGGAGUAAUCCAGGUCAGUUUCUAUCUAUGCCAUGAUCUUUUCUAGUACGAAAGGACCGAAAAGGAGAGGCCCAUGCUUAAAGUAUGCCUCACCCCCACCUAAUGAAAUCAACUAAAAAAGGCAAAAGGGCAUAUCCCUAUGCUGAAGAGAACAGCUU
rnacentral:rRNA from 1 species